UGCCGGGCCGGUGAUCUAACCUGCAUCCUGGUGCUACAGAGAUGCUGCCAUUCUGGCACAGCGGGAACUUCUCAGGGGACUUUUCAAAAGUUAGGGUAAGGAAAUGAGGGAGGAGAAAGAGAACUGCAUUGGCAUGUCAAUUAAAUCAUAACCACUUAUCAAGCAACAUGCCAUGAGUACCAGUCCGUGGACUAUUACUGUCUGAGUCAUUCUUUGCCUUUCUCCUGUCCUCUCUGGAUCUAAGGGGCACUGUGUCCAGUAAGCUGCUGCAUUUCCCAGGCUGGCUCGCAUGUCUGAUGGCUUCUGGUUUAGUUUAGCUGGUGGGCAUCUAGGGACAAGAGAGUGGGACAAGGGAGAAGUAUGAUGUUUCUCCUCUCUGUUUCUGAGAGUAUCAGUAUUCGUGUCUCCUCCCUAAAGAUAUAUUGGCUGCAGUUCUGGCUUGCUAAACCCAAAAUAGUCCCUGAGUUCUAAUAACACUGUAUCUUCUUCCUAGGCUCUCAGCAUAGAAGUAGAAUUUGCUCCUGCUGCUACUAACCACAAAGUUGCCUAACCAUUCUUUGGCUUUUCAGCUGUUUCACUACAUUCUUAAACCAUUCUCUGUAUAAAUACACUUGUGGUGUUUACACACUAGAUGUAGUUUCAUUUUUGCAGUCAGAACUGAAUGAUACAAAAGGCAUUUUAAAUCUUAUUUAAUCCUUACAAGAUCCCUGCAAGGUAGUAAUUAUUACUUCUAUUUUACAGAUGAGAAAAAGCAAAAGUCAGUGAAUUUAAGGUCUUUGCUUAAAGUCACAGCACUAGUAAGUGGUCGAGCCAUGACUCAAAUCCAGUUCCAACGUCUCCCUUAACUUGCUAUGUUUACCAAGGGAAAUGGCAACAGCAAAAACGAACAAACAAACAAAACAACCUAGACUUGAAAACAGCCAUUCAAUGUGCAGCACAGUAGUCCUAGGCCAGAGCAGUCAUUUUAGAGAUGAUAGUGAGCUCCACCCACACUGAGCACUGAGAGUCUGGGAGGAGAGGUGUCCUAUCCCCAGCUCAAAGUGCCCUGCUCCAAGGAAGUAAUGUCUUCUCUCUGGACCAAAGAAUGAGUCUGUUCCUUGCAAGGACAGCAGAAUCAGAGCUGGAAGACAAGAUCCAACACCUACUAAGAAUGAUCUUCCACCGAAAUGAGCUGAAGAAAAAGAUGACCACAGAUUCGAACUAAGGCUUUGGACUUCAACUGAUUGGGUGAGCCUCACUCACAUGAGGAAGAGCAAUCUGCUGUCCACCAACUCAAAUGUUAAUUUCAUCUAAAAACACUCUCACAAACAUACCCAGAAUAAUGUUUGACAAACUAUCUGAGCACCCCAUGGUCCAGACCAGUUGAUACACAAAAUGAACUAUCACAAUUGCCUUCCCAGCUUUUCACUCUUAUUUCUGGCAAAAAGUAUUCUUCUGAUCCUUUAGAAAAUUCAGACAUCUUCACUAUCACAUAUAUAAUUUGUAUGGGAGUGAACAUCUUCACCUCCAACUCUAAAACAGGACUGUAAAAUGAUGCAGAUAUUCUAUCCACUUGAAGAAGAGCAGAAGAGUUAAUGAACAGAAUUAAUGAUAUAAUAACAACAGUAGCUAACAUAACAAAUAUCAGCCGAUUUAACCAUUAUAACAACCCAGUGACAUAUGCUCCCAAAGAGAAGAGAAAGGCUUGAGAGAAAAGAGAAGCUCUGACUCUUUGAUUAGAUCCAGUAAUGUAAAUAUCUGAUGACUGGAGCUGCCCUGUACAUUAUGCUCACAAAGAAAGUCAGCCUGAGAAUGGAAGAAACCCAGAGGGGGCUCUUAACGACAUAAUUUGAACUCUCAAUCAACUUGCUUAUCUGUGGACUUCUCUGUUGCAUGAGUCAGUAUAUUCUGUUUUGACCUAAGCCAGUUUGAGUUGGGUUAUUGUUACUUGGAACAACAAAUUCUUAAGUACUUUAGAAACUGAUACUAGAAGUAAGGUGUUGUAAGAGACAGAUCCUAGAUAGUGGAAGUGACUGAGUCCAGGAAAGUACAUGGUGGGAAACUGAGAAUCCCUAGGGGACACAGUAAAUAGGAUCUGACAUGUGCAUGUAACCCAAGCCAAGCUACUGACAUGUGAGGAAAUAUGAGCCAGAGUUUUGGUAAAAAGAAGCUUUGACUCUUCAAAUAUAUUUGACGGUAUAAAAAUAUGUAAGCCACAAAAAAAAAAAAAAAAAAAAGGAACUUGGAUGAGGUAGAGACAAUUGAAAGGAAGCACAGCCAUGAGAGACUGAUCCUGAUAAUAAUUUUUGAACUCUGAGUCCAAAGUGUAUCUAUCAGUCUGGAUCCAGUCAGAAAAUAGACUACAUAAAGAAAUAAACAUGGGGAAUUCAGUAUAACAGUUAUUAAGCUAUAUUACAAGAGUAACUAAAAGGUAUAAGCACAUUUUAUAUGGUACCAAAGAAGGAAAAACUUGAGAGGGGGCCUCCUCCCAGGCUCGGUUUUAGACCUUCAGGAGAAGGCAUAGUUUGGCUCAAUGAUAAGCCAGAAAUGAACUGGGUUUCCCAGACUGGAGCUGUCCAGCAGCUGCUGAGCAAUUAGAAAGCAACUCUGGGAAAGCAAGUGGGGAACAGGUAAUCAGCAAUGGUAAAGGGGUAGAAACCUUCUACGCCACAGGCAAAGCAUCCCAGGCUUACAGAGGGAGCAGUGGCUGCUUGGAGGAAAUUCUCUGGAACACAGGCGAGUUACACAAGUACCUGCAAAGGGAAACAGGGCACUGAUUCAAAGAGGAAGCCUGUAGAAAAAUAAUUUCCAUGUCAAGUGCACAGCAGGAAGGUUAUUGCCAAGACUGCAAAGUUACCAAAGGACUAUGCUCUGGGCACGAGAUUGGGGCAGAGAUUCACUAGAUCUCCUUACACCCACAUUGCUAGCCCACUGAGCAUCAGUCAUACAAGGUAGGAGGCCCUCUCCUGCAAGAUCCCUCUGGUGCCCUCUACUGAGAAUUUUUAACAGAAAUCUCACUUCAAAGGAGAAAAACACUAAAAGAAACUGAAGGUGAACUAGGAGAGGCAAAAAAUUGUAAGUGGCACAUAGGUUAUGAGAGCCAAUAAGUUCUCUUUUUUGCUUUAGAUAUUUCCUACCAGAUUUUCUGAAUAUUGCAAAUUUGCUAACUGAUAUAGGACCUACAUCUCAUACCACCUAUAGCUAAGCAGGGUUUUCCAUUGACCACUGCAUGCUUUCCCGACAGCCUUUAUGCCACCAUUUCUUACCCAAAAUCUUUCUGCCCAGGUCUCAUUUUUUUAGUUAGAAUCCUACCUUUGUCAUUAACAUAUAGGUUAGCAGCCUAUCAAUAACAUAUUUUUAUUUUAAUAAGAACAUUCAAGAAAAUAAGGGCUUUAAAAGAAAGAUGAUUGAGUUUUUAGAGAUUUGACAAGUUGAUAAAAGGUAUUUUAGGGACAUUGGUACUUUGGGUUCUUCUCAAAUAAUUAUACUGUUAUCUAUAAUAAAAUAAUACAGUCAGAAUUUUCCAGCUUUUCAAAUCUAUCUGGUCCUUCUAGAAUUCUACAGUGCCAAAAAAACAUGGCCCAACAAGGAAUGAUUUGUUUUCAAUUAAAAAAAAAUCUAAGUAACCAACCAUAAUUGUUUUUAGGUUAAAAAAUGCUUUUUAAAAAAAUAAACAGAAGUAACAGGGAGUAGAAUUAAGGAAGCAAAAUUUUUACUCAAUACUCUUAGUGACUAAAAUAAUUAUUUUAAGUAUAUACACAUAAUUUUUAAAGCAUCAGAGAUUUCUUCUGAACUUAUCAGUAGUCCUGUCUAUGGACAUUUUUAUUUGUUAAUAGUGUUUCUUAGUCCCAGAAACAGUACAAAGUUUAUUACUUAGUCCCAGAAAAACGACAAAGUUUAUUACUAAAAAGUUUUAGUUCACCUCAAAUACUUUCUGUGCUAUUUGGAAAAAGUAUCUAGGGGAAAAUUCAUGUAAGAAGAGUAAACCCAAUUUAACAGAAAACAUGAAAAACUGUUGGUGAAGUGCUUUAUGCGUGCAUGUGUUUGGCCCAGAGGAAGCAUCGGACUGGAUGUGGGAGUGGGAGGCAGAGUGAAAAGAUGCAGUAUCUCCUCCUCUGCCGCUGUGUUGGAUAAAAUGGAUCAUUUUAUUGUCAGGUUGGCUGAGACUGAAUGUCAACAUUAUACAGGAAGGCCCCAAAGGUAUGCAAACAGGAGAUGCUAUUCCAGCUUCCUUCACUUGAUGCUAUUAAAUGAGCUCACAGUCCAAAAGAUAAAAGAUAUCUUAAUAAACUAAAGGCCAAUAAGUGCCUACUUUUAUAGCAGUAGUUUAAAUUCAAACCCUUCAUGAGUUUAUGUGUGCUUCUAUGGAAAGACUGUAUCUAAAACAACACUCUCAACAGAUGAAAUUCACCAGAGGAAAAUAAAAUUUACCUAAAAAUUGCUGUACUGAUUGGUAGUUUUUUUCCUUUCAGUAACAAUAGCAAAAGUCACUUAGAAUGUGUGGUAAGUCUAAACCCUCACAAUGGAUGGUAAUUUAAUUUGAAAUAUCAGACAUACAUUCUAUGUUCAUUUAGAAAAUUCUGACUGGGUUACAUAUAAGUAAGAGUCAUCUAAUCACUCUAUAAAAUUGUAUUAUCUAUUACAUGCCAGGAAACCAUGGUUUCUACCUUUGUAAAAAUCUUUCUAGCAUAUGAAAACUUCUAUUGCUCUAAACAUCUGAUUAUCAUGUGUUAAAUGGGUACCACACUCUUAAGAAAAACAAUAAAAUAAUUAUUUUUUACUUAGUGGUAAAAUUUCCCUCAAAAGUUCAUACCUAUUAAUCAGUGGUCAUAUGUAUAAUCAAUGGUAGUAUCCACUACAUUCACUGACUGGUUCAGAAAGGCUCCAACAAACCAAAACACAAAUGGAGUAAGAUUGAUUUUGGGAGAAACCUGUGGAGCACAGAAUCCCAGCCAGUAUGUCCAUUCAUAUGUGUGGAUUUCAAGUUUCCAUGAGCCAGGGGCAGGACCUUAAAAAUGGAAUGUGUCCCUCACCCCUUAGCAAAAGGUAAGAUGAGAGCUAACAAGAAAUCAUAAUAUUGACAAUUAGAAGUUGACAUUAAUUCUUAUUUACCACAUGUGUACCAUGUGUCAGAAACCCUGACUGGCACUUGAUCAAGACAAGUCAAGUUGCAGGUUGCUAAGGAGUAAAUAUGAAAUAAGAAAGAAUAAGCUGGGAGUACACUGAGAGAAUACUGAUUUGGUAGAGGCAAAGCUGAAGAAAAUUACAAGAUAGAAAAUAGUUUUGUAUAUUUCAGAUGGAGGAGGAAGUUGUGGAAAGAGAUAGAUUGAGAAAGCAAAUAAGAAAGGGCAUAAUUAUUACAGCAAGAAUUUUCAAGAGGUAGAAAGCAUGAGGUCAUGAGCAUAAGUGAAGACAAAGAGGAAGAGUGACUCAGUGAAAAGAUGGAAGAAGAUAAGGAUGAAUGAGAACUAUAAAUCAAUUCAGAGGUAUAGAAGAAGUAAAAUAAGUCCUAGGAUGACGGCAGGAAAUUGGAAGGAAAGGAACAGGAUGACCUAGAAAGAGAAAGAAUAAAUGAACUUCAAGGAGACAUCGUGAAAGAAGUUUUUCACAACUAUCAUAGCUAUUUCCUCUGUUAAGUAUUCAAGGUAAACUGCUAAGAGAAAAUAGUGCAGCAUUAAGUGCAAAGGUUGUUAAGAGUAGUUCAAAAAAAUACUAGCAUAGAGAAUGGGUAAGGAUAUGUAAAGAUUUGCUAGACAAUAUUGAGAGUCAGUAGCUGGAAAUCAUAAAUGCAUAAUGCAGGCUAUCAACAUGGUUAGACAUUUUGCUUCAGUAUUAUUCAAUGCCUGGUUCCAGGAUCAGAACAAACAGAUGGUUAGAUCAUUCUAGAACUGAGGAUUAGGAUAAUGGAAUAACAAGGUCAUAAAAGUGGUGAGAACUGCGGGUGCUAGUGAGAGAGGUUUAGCUUAAGGACCAUGAGUUGUCAGUUGGAUUGAAUAAUAAGGAAAUGAAGCCAAAGGAGGCUUAUCAAUCAAGAACAUAUGAAGCCAACAAAGUACAAGAAUCAAUGAGAGUGAAGAUCAGCUGCUCCCCUCAUAAGAGCUCUUGAAGGGCAUUCUGCAGUCUGGUAGAUAAAGUUUAAUUUACUUCUCAUAGCAAGGCUUUCUAUAAUCAUGCUUGCCUAGCCAGUUCAUUUCUCAUUCCUUCUUCAGAUACUCUCAGGAAUCCACAGGUCCUGGCAUACCAAAGGACUAUGCUGCUUCCUGUUUUCAAGUCACUGCUGUUCUUCCUGAAGAGCUUCUCCUCUCCUACUAAAUCCCCAUUCACCUGAUGGAACCUCUCAGCCUUCAACUCAUCUCAGGAGUCUUUUCCUUUUUAAAAUCUUCCUGUGGUAAUCUGUCUGCAAAAAAUAGCUCCAAUUUUCAUCCCAUCCCUGCACACUCAUGCCAUUACUCCCAGAACAAGCCCUUGAUUAUAGGCUGCCCAAGAGAAUGCUAAAGAAUUGGCACUGUGCCAGUUCCAGCUCAACUACCAUUUUCAAGCCAAGUACACAGUUCAAACUGUCCACUGUAUCACACUACUGUACUAUAAUACACCUCUAUUAUUUUACUAAUCACACCAGGAUUACAAAAAAUUUGCAUAUCUGCUCCCUGUCUAUUCUGUGAAAUUCUUCAGAUUAGGGACAAUGUCUUAAUCAUACAGAUGUAAUUCCUACAUCCUAGCACACAACACAUGAUGAAUACUCAAUAAAUAAUGUGAACUAAGUUGAAUCUAAAUUGAAUUAGUGGGAGAAAGAUAGGUACUCUGCUCAGUCACUGGAAUUUCAUGGUUAAGAUUUCACAAGUGGAGCAAUUCCUUGAAAAUUAUGGAAACAUACUGGAGGUAAAUUUGGCUCAGGUACAGUCUAGGAACUGAGAUGAGAGUGGACGCAUCACUGAGGAUGUGGACUUGUGGCCCAGUAGGAUGAUGAAAUCUGUCUGAAGUGGAAGAUGGUGAUCCUGAAUGGGAAGAGAUUGUGAACUAUGGAAAAGAAGAGGCUGUGAGUGACAGUCUUUCAUAAUCAUAACAAUGCUUUUAAAGCAACGGUGGACAAUUAAGAUGUUGAGGGUCCAACCUUCUAUCCAAAGUACACUCAAGGGAGGAAAAGUAAAUCUCCACUUCACUGACUUAUGUGUAAGCAUAUUAUUCUGGCUUUCCAAAAAGCCAGUUGAGUGUGUGCCUUCUCAUUCCCUCCCACCCCCAAAAUCCUUUUGUUCCAUGACCACUGAAAGCUUUUUGCUCAAUCCUCUUCCCUACUCUAUUCUCUGGGCCAUCUGAGUCACUCUUGUGGUUUCAAUCAUCUGGACUUUCUCACCCCCUAUCUUUCUUUCACGAACUUCAGGACCGUUCUAAUUCUUUUCUGAAUAUCUCCACUCUUUGGCCUUUCAAAUAUAUCAAGCUGAAGAUGUUAAAGGACAAACUUUAUUAUCUUCUAUUCAAACCAUGA